UACGUAGGGGGCAAGCGUUGUCCGGAAUUAUUGGGCGUAAAGAGCUCGUAGGCGGUCUGUCGCGUCGGAUGUGAAAACCCGGAACUCAACUCCGGGCCUGCAUUCGAUACGGGCAGACUUGAGUACUGCAGGGGAGACUGGAAUUCCUGGUGUAGCGGUGGAAUGCGCAGAUAUCAGGAGGAACACCGGUGGCGAAGGCGGGUCUCUGGGCAGAAACUGACGCUGAGGAGCGAAAGCGUGGGGAGCGAACAGG
rnacentral:rRNA from 1 species